UCAGCCUAGCCCGAGCCUCCCGGCAACCUCCCUUUGGCUCCGCCUUUUAAAGGGCCUUUACGGUAAAUAACCCCGACGCUUAGGGGGGCUUCUGCUUCUGGGCCCUAAAACUUACCCAGACUCCUUCCAUGGCCAUGCAAGAGGUCUUAGCAACGUGUUCACACGAUCAUGGUUUAAAAAAUAUAUAAUAACAAAAAUGUUGUUAAAGAGGCCAUGAAAGAAUACACAGCCAAAAAAUGUGGGAGUGGAGUUGAAGUGUGUCUGCUUGGCCUGCCUUUGGGUUCUGGAUUGUACCUAGCCCAAUGAAGCUAAAAGGGAAUUAUGUUUCUGAAGUGCCUCCCAAAUCUCAAAUGAUGGCAGCCUACUCUGUGGUCUCUCACCCACCUCUCCCCCUGCAAUGAAAGAAGGCUAGCAUCUGUAGCACCUACAAGAGGACCAACAUUCCCCAGGAAAUUCUGUCCUUUAAAACCAUGAGAUGAAUAACCUUGGUCUGGAAGGUAUUCAUAGAAAGAAGCUUAGAAUAUUUGAUUUUUGAGCAUGAAUUAACUGUACA